GACGAACGCUGGCGGCGUGCUUAACACAUGCAAGUCGAACGGAAAGGCCCCGCAUUUGUGGGGUGCUCGAGUGGCGAACGGGUGAGUAACACGUGAGUAACCUGCCCUUGACUUUGGGAUAACUUCAGGAAACUGGGGCUAAUACCGGAUAGGAGCUGCUGCUGCAUGGUGGGGGUUGGAAAGUUUCGGCGGGUGGGGAUGGACUCGCGGCUUAUCAGCUUGUUGGUGGGGUAGUGGCUUACCAAGGCUUUGACGGGUAGCCGGCCUGAGAGGGUGACCGGCCACAUUGGGACUGAGAUACGGCCCAGACUCCUACGGGAGGCAGCAGUGGGGAAUAUUGCACAAUGGGCGGAAGCCUGAUGCAGCAACGCCGCGUGCGGGAUGACGGCCUUCGGGUUGUAAACCGCUUUCGCCUGUGACGAAGCGUGAGUGACGGUAAUGGGUAAAGAAGCACCGGCUAACUACGUGCCAGCAGCCGCAGUAA
rnacentral:rRNA from 1 species